rnacentral:rRNA from 1 species
UGGGGAAUUUUGGACAAUGGGCGAAAGCCUGAUCCAGCAAUGCCGCGUGUGUGAAGAAGGCCUUCGGGUUGUAAAGCACUUUUGUCCGGAAAGAAAUCCUUGGCUCUAAUACAGUCGGGGGAUGACGGUACCGGAAGAAUAAGCACCGGCUAACUACGUGCCAGCAGCCGCGGUAAUACGUAGGGUGCAAGCGUUAAUCGGAAUUACUGGGCGUAAGGCGUGCGCAGGCGGUUUGCUAAGACCGAUGUGAAAUCCCCGGGCUCAACCUGGGAACUGCAUUGGUGACUGGCAGGCUAGAGUAUGGCAGAGGGGGGUAGAAUUCCACGUGUAGCAGUGAAAUGCGUAGAGAUGUGGAGGAAUACCGAUGGCGAAGGCAGCCCCCUGGGCCAAUACUGACGCUCAUGCACGAAAGCGUGGGGAGCAAACAGGAUUAGAUACCCUGGCAGUCCACGCCCUAAAACGAUGUCAACUAGUUGUUGGGGAUUCAUUUCCUUAGUAACGUAGCUAACGCGUGAAGUUGACCGCCUGGGGAGUACGGUCGCAAGAUUAAAACUCAAAGGAAUUGACGGGGUCAUAGCUGUUUCCU